GAAGGUAUAGCUCAGUGGUAGCGUGCAUGUUUUGCAUGCAUGAGGCCCUGGGUUCAAUCCCCAGUACCUCCA
rnacentral:tRNA from 1 species